GUGGGCACAUGGAUUUCUCUCACCAUUCCAUUUUCAACAAAUAACCCCCACAAAAAGGGUCCCGCAAGACCGCUCUACAAGAUAGCAUUAUUCAGAAGAGAAAACAAUUUGCUUAUUUACAUGCAAGUCAAUAUAAUAUAAAUAGACAAUAUUUCACAUUUCUGUAUGUACAGCAAACCCAGUACCAACUGCUUCGCAAUCAAUACCCUCUUCCACAUGAAUGUGAUCCCACAUGAAUGUGAUCACCAUCUUCAUCGUCAUAUUAAUGCUCUCCUGCAAAAAUAACAAAAAAAUAGAAAAAGAAUGCACAUGAGUAGUACAUGCACCUUCACCAGCUCUCCACAGUUGCUCUCUUUAUUUAAUUUUUCUUUUUCUUUUUCCUUAUUUUUUUUUCAUUCGAUUUGUUUUGGGGUGACCUGUGGACAUGAGAAUACAUACCUGAACAAAAGGGAUCUGCUUAGCAAAAUAUGGAUUAUAUAUGGGGGUGUAUGGCAAAUAAGCAGGCCAAUGAUACCGCUAUCACGGCCAUGACAGCAAGCAUCAGCAGGGGCAUCAGCAGGGGCAGAAAUGUCCUGCUGCCAAUUCCCCCAGAGAGAGAGAGAUGAUGAUGGUGACGGUUGGAGUGCAGUUGGAUUGGGGGAGGGACGUAGAGGAUUAAAAAUGGCAGAAACUCUCAAACUGUUAAUGAGUUUUCAGGCAAUUAAUGGAAAAUCUUCAAUAUUUUCCUUUUACUUUCUAAUGUGGUGAUGUUUUUGACGUAUAUGAAUCAAAACAGAAGUAGAGGACGGACCCUU
rnacentral:lncRNA from 1 species